GUUCUUGUAGUUGAACUACAACGGUGAUUUUUCAUGUCACUAGUCAUGGUUUAAGACCAUGUAAGAAUAU
rnacentral:tRNA from 1 species